rnacentral:rRNA from 1 species
ACGGAAGGCAGCAGUGGGGAAUAUUGCACAAUGGGCGAAAGCCUGAUGCAGCGACGCCGCGUGAACGAAGAAGUAUUUCGGUAUGUAAAGUUCUAUCAGCAGGGAAGAUAAUGACGGUACCUGACUAAGAAGCACCGGCUAAAUACGUGCCAGCAGCCGCGGUAAUACGUAUGGUGCAAGCGUUAUCCGGAUUUACUGGGUGUAAAGGGAGCGCAGGCGGCGCGGCAAGUCUGAAGUGAAAUCCCGGGGCUCAACCCCGGAACUGCUUUGGAAACUGUCGUGCUAGAGUGUAGGAGGGGUAAGCGGAAUUCCUAGUGUAGCGGUGAAAUGCGUAGAUAUUAGGAGGAACACCAGUGGCGAAGGCGGCUUACUGGACGAUAACUGACGCUGAGGCUCGAAAGCGUGGGGAGCAAACAGGAUUAGAUACCCUGGUA